AGUAUUAAAAAAGCGCCAGAACUACACUAGACGAGAAUGUGUAGUUGACGAGGUGGAGUUUUAUCGAAGUUUCGGCGGAUGACUCCCGGUUGCUGUAUCACAACCGAAAUUAUUUAUGUAAAACACAUAGGUGACUGUGUGCACAAACGUAAAUAAUCUGAUACAC
rnacentral:ncRNA from 2 species